CGGGAUAACACCUGGAAACAGAUGCUAAUACCGGAUAACAACAGAUGAUGCCUAUCAACUGUUUAAAAGAUGGUUCUGCUAUCACUCUUGGAUGGACCUGCGGUGCAUUAGCUAGUUGGUAGGGUAACGGCCUACCAAGGCGAUGAUGCAUAGCCGAGUUGAGAGACUGAUCGGCCACAUUGGGACUGAGACACGGCCCAAACUCCUACGGGAGGCAGCAGAA
rnacentral:rRNA from 1 species